AGAAAUGACACCAGGAACAGCAUUUACUGCUUCAGAAUCCACGGACACUGUUAAGUUGAGGUAAAAUCAAAAAGAAAGCCAUCAACAACAGGCACUUAUGACGUCAUGUCACGUGAUAGGCGGAAAUACGACCUGCUUCCCGAGCCAAGGAGUGUCACGUGCCACGUCCCGUAGUGUGCUAUUUAUAGACGAAUGUUGACCUCGUAACACAGUUGCUUGGUUGUGUAAUGACAGUUACCGGUGGUCCGCACAACGUUUCAACCCAACAUAACAGUGCAGGCCCAACAUAACAGUGCAGGAAAAGAAAGCUCAACAUGUUCAUUUGUUAUUCCAACAUGCAUUGUGAACAUUUUUUCAGCGAUAUUAAAAUAUGUUUUCAUA